AUUGAACGCUGGCGGCAGGCUUAACACAUGCAAGUCGAGCGGGGGAAGGUAGCUUGCUACCGGACCUAGCGGCGGACGGGUGAGUAAUGCUUAGGAAUCUGCCUAUUAGUGGGGGACAACAUCUCGAAAGGGAUGCUAAUACCGCAUACGUCCUACGGGAGAAAGCAGGGGAUCUUCGGACCUUGCGCUAAUAGAUGAGCCUAAGUCGGAUUAGCUAGUUGGUGGGGUAAAGGCAUACCAAGGCGACGAUCUGUAGCGGGUCGGAGAGGAUGAUCCGCAACACUGGGACUGAGACACGGCCCAGACUCCUACGGGAGGCAGCAGUGGGGAAUAUUGGACAGUGGGGGGAACCCUGAUCCAGCCAUGCCGCGUGUGUGAAGAAGGCCUUAUGGUUGUAAAGCACUUUAAGCGAGGAGGAGGCUACUUUAGUUAAUACCUAGAGAUAGUGGACGUUACUCGCAGAAUAAGCACCGGCUAACUCUGUGCCAGCAGCCGCCGUAA
rnacentral:rRNA from 1 species